GGAAAACAGGUUAAUAUUCCUGUACUUCUGGUUAUUGCGAUGGAGGGACGGAGAAGGCUAGGCCAGCUUGGCGUUGGUUGUCCAAGUUUAAGGUGGUAGGCUGGAAUCUUAGGUAAAUCCGGGAUUCCAAGGCCGAGAGCUGAUGACGAGUGUUCUUUUAGAACACGAAGUGGUUGAUGCCAUGCUUCCAAGAAAAGCUUCUAAGCUUCAGGUAACCAGGAACCGUACCCCAAACCGACACAGGUGGUUGGGUAGAGAAUACCAAGGCGCUUGAGAGAACUCGGGUGAAGG
rnacentral:rRNA from 1 species